UAGGGAUUCGAAUUGGGGCUCUAGGAUUUAUUUCUGAUCAGCCACAAAAUUGACCAAGAAGAAAAGGAAGUAGAGAGAGGCGUGCGGCUGAAGAGCUCUCAUCGACGGUGAAGGAUCCAGUUGGCGACGACGAAGGCUCCUACUGCAGACGGUGAAGUCAACUGGUGUGUUGUCGUCAACAUGUUGGGUUCCUGCUGCAUGCGUACGAAGAUGGAGAAGAAGGCAGGUGUAGACGCACGGCUCCUAGGUUUUCUCGGCUCCGACAACUGUAGCAGAGGAUCUCGACGGAGACACUGUUGGAGAAGGUCUCGACAACAGUUUUUUUUUUUGCUUCAUUUCUUUGAUAGAUAAUGCUUUCAAUUCACCCAGUAGUGACGUUGCGAUAAGGGCUCAGGCUGUACGAUGAAGGUGGUUCGAUGGUAGUCAUUGGCAUCAAUGGUGCAGGUGAUUUCUUCAAUUGAGUUUUUGAGUAGCUAGUGACGGCUUGGGAAUGAUUACAUGACAGUGGCUUGCUGGGUUCAUAACUUCAACGAAGGCUCAAGGAAGAAGAUAUAGCAGGUGGACUGGCGAGGGAACUUGAGGCGCCAGGGGCACACGAUUAAUUUUCUAGACCUCAUAAUUUUGGAGCUGAAAUCAUUAUGGUUCAUAUUUUGAUGUCUUAAAGCAUUGGAUUGGUAGCUAAUUGCAAGAGGUAGAAACUUGAACGUUUGUGGUGAUAUUGAUGAGGAUGAUUUUUUGCAAAGGGACGAAGAAGUUGCUUGAAGAAUCCAUUGUUACCUCAAGUUAUUAUUAUUAGACUUCCUAGUUUUGUAUUAUAAAUGUGAGAAGAUUGAUUAUUUAUAUUUGUUCCCAAAUUUAUUUUUUUAGAUUUGUAACUAUCUCAUUGAAUGUACAAUUUUUGUUACAUUAAUCUAUAAAUUUUCACAUUUGUAUAUAA